ACACGUAAGUAACCUGCCUUUAAGACGAGGAUAACAAUUGGAAACGGUUGCUAAGACUGGAUAGGAAACAAAAAGGCAUCUUUUUGUUUUUAAAAGACCUUCUUAUGAAGGUAUGCUUAAAGAGGGGCUUGCGCCACAUUAGUUAGUUGGUAGGGUAAAAGCCUACCAAGACGAUGAUGUGUAGCUGGACUGAGAGGUUGAACAGCCACAUUGGGACUGAGACACGGCCCAAACUCCUACGGGAGGCAGCAGUAGGGAAUUUUCGGCAAUGGAGGAAACUCUGACCGAGCAACGCCGCGUGAACGAUGAAGUAUUUCGGUAUGUAAAGUUCUUUUUAUUGAAGAAGAAAAAGUAGUGGAAAAACUAUAUUGACGUUAUUCAAUGAAUAAGCCCCGGCUAACUAUGUGCCAGCAGCCGCGGUAAGACAUAGGGGGCGAGCGUUAUCCGGAAUUAUUGGGCGUAAAGGGUGCGUAGGCUGUUAGAUAAGUCUAUAAUUUAAUUUCAGUGCUUAACGCUGUCUUGUUAUAGAAACUGYCUUGACUAGAGUGAGAUAGAGGCAAGCGGAAUUCCAUGUGUAGCGGUAAAAUGUGUAAAUAUAUGGAGGAACACCAGAAGCGUAGGCGGCUUGCUGGGUCUUGACUGACGCUGAGGCACGAAAGCGUGGGUAGCAAACAGGAUUAGAUACCCUGGUAGUCCACGCCGUAAACGAUGAGUACUAAGUGUCGGGGUAAAACUCGGUACUGAAGUUAACACAUUAAGUACUCCGCCUGAGUAGUACGUACGCAAGUAUGAAACUUAAAGGAAUUGACGGGACUCCGCACAAGCGGUGGAUCAUGUUGUUUAAUUCGAAGAUACACGAAAAAUCUUACCAGGUCUUGACAUACUCUGCAAAGCUAUAGAAAUAUAGUGGAGGUUAUCAGGGAUACAGGUGGUGCAUGGUUGUCGUCAGUUCGUGUCGUGAGAUGUUAGGUUAAGUCCUAAAACGAGCGCAACCCUUGUCGUUAAUUGCCAGCACGUAAUGGUGGGGACUUUAGCGAGACUGCCAAUUAAACAUUGGAGGAAGGUGAGGAUUACGUCAAAUCAUCAUGCCCCUUAUGAUCUGGGCUACAAACGUGAUACAAUGGCUGUGACAAAGAGUAGCUGAAACGCGAGUUUUUGGCCAAUCUCAAAAAAGCAGUCUCAGUUCGGAUUGAAGUCUGUAACUCGACUUCAUGAAGUUGGAAUCGCUAGUAAUCGCGAAUCAGCAUGUCGCGGUGAAUACGUUCUCGGGGUUUGUACACACCGCCCGUCAAACCACGAAAGUUAGCAAUACCCGAAAACAGUAGCUUAACUCGCAAG
rnacentral:rRNA from 1 species